rnacentral:rRNA from 1 species
GCUUGCCUAAAGCGGCCGUAGCAGGUUUUGUAAAUUUCUUGUGAAACUGCCAAGCUUAACUUGGCAAUGUGCAGGAAACACUGCAAGACUAGAGACCGGGAAGGGUCGGAGGUAUUCCUGAGGGAGCGGUAAAAUGCUAUAAUCUCAGGAGGACCACCGGUGGCGAAGGCGUCCGACUAGAACGGAUCUGACUGUGAGGGACGAAAGCUAGGGGAGCAAACCGGAUUAGAUACCCGAGUAGUCCUAGCUGUAAACGCUGUGAGCUAGGUGUCGCACAUUCUACGGGAAUGUGCGGUGUCGUAAAGAAGUUACUAAGCUCACCGCCUGGGAAGUACGGUCGCAAGACUGAAACUUUAAGGAAUUGGCGGGGGCGCACCACAAGGGGUGCGGCGUGCGGUUUAAUCUAACUCAACACAGAGAACCUUACUAGGAGCGACGGCAAGAUGAAGGUCAUGCUGAAGACAUUACUCGAUGAGCCGAGAGGUGGUGCAUGGCCGUCGCCAGCUCGUGCUAUGAAGUGUCCAGUUAAGUCUGGCAACGAGCGAGACCUGUAUCUGCAAUUGCUAACAGCAUUACGAUGGACCGAGCACAUUGCAGGGACUGCCUUGGAAACAAGGAGGAAGGUGCAGGCUACGGUAGGUCCGCAUGCCCCGAAAAGCC